rnacentral:rRNA from 1 species
UAUUGCACAAUGGGGGAAACCCUGAUGCAGCCAUGCCGCGUGUGUGAAGAAGGCCUUCGGGUUGUAAAGCACUUUCAGUAGGGAGGAAGGUAGUGUAGUUAACACCUGCAUUAUUUGACGUUACCUACAGAAGAAGCACCGGCUAACUCCGUGCCAGCAGCCGCGGUAAUACGGAGGGUGCGAGCGUUAAUCGGAAUUACUGGGCGUAAAGCGCAUGCAGGCGGCCUGUUAAGUCAGAUGUGAAAGCCCGGGGCUUAACCUCGGAAUUGCAUUUGAAACUGGCAGGCUAGAGUCUUGUAGAGGGGGUAGAAUUUCAGGUGUAGCGGUGAAAUGCGUAGAGAUCUGAAGGAAUACCAGUGGCGAAGGCGGCCCCCUGGACAAAGACUGACGCUCAGAUGCGAAAGCGUGGGGAGCAAACAGGAUUAGAUACCCUGGGAG